UAAUUUUUGUAUUUUUAGUAGAGACGGGGUUUCACCAUGUUGGCCAGGCUGGUCUCAAACUCCUGACCUCAGGUGAUCCGCCCGCCUCAGCCUCCUAAAGUGCUGGGAUUAUAGGCAUGAGCCACCGCGCCCGGCCGAUAACACAGUUUCAUUGUGAAGACAGGCGGCUUGUAGUAGCAAAAAUUGAAACCGAAAAUGGCGACGUUACACAUUCUCCAAAUCCCUACUAAUUUACAUACCUAUCAAUUUCAGAGGCAAUCUCGUGUAACCCUAAAGGAGGUUAUCUCUGGAGAGCUUGGAGCAGCUCCAAUUCAAGUUCAGAGAUCCAGGGAGCCCAGAAUGCACAGCGCCGCGGGGGUGCCUCCCGCCAGAAGGCGGCGCUGUGGGAUCCCAGCCCGAGCCGUGUCCAGGCACAGGAAAGGCAGAGCGUUCUCAGCAUGCCCUGCCUGUGCCCUGGGCAACGGCCGCCGCCGAGCGAGAUCCCGGGGUCGCGCAGGGUGGGGCUGGGGCUGAAGGGCGCAGGCCCCGCGUACGGGGGCCGCCCCUGCUUUUCCUCCGCGAGACCAGAGCUUAGACUACGGCAGGACUAGUCCCUGGGGUUCCCCUUCGGGUGUCAGACCCUCUCUGGGCGGUCGCGGGAGGGCUCGGGCUCGCAGGAUCUGCAGGUGUUGGGGCUGGGGCAGUGGGGAGUGGUCCGUGGGCCCAAGAGGACGAAGCGGAGUCGGGCGGUUCCGGCUGGGAGGAGGCGCCUCCCCGGGGCUGCCCUGACCUAGUAAAAUCUGUGGGGAAGCCCUGGCCGGGGAGCCUUCCCCCAGCUCGCUCCCUGGGGCCUGGACAAAAGGCCGGGAAGGAAACGCAGCCCUGGGCUCUGCGGUCUUUGGAACAGAGACUGCGACUUUUCAUCUUCGUUUCCCACCUAGUGUGGGGCCCCCGUGGGUGCUGUACAAAUGCUGUGGAAUCAAAGAAUCAGUGGAGGAGUCCCGCACGCACCCAUUGAUUUUACUCAGUCCAGAGUUUCCGGAGAGUGCCUGCUUCCCUAAGCGCAGCUUGUGGGCGGAGACUCUGCUGGAUGAGGUGCAGAUUGGGAGAAAGAACAGGAAAUUACGGGUGAGAAAAGAAAAGGAUUCCCAUAAAGGGCACAUGUGAAAGUACAAUGCUGAAUUGCAAUAUUAGGCACUUCCAUUUUCUUUUUAUUUAUUUAUUUAAGACGGAGUCUCGCUCUGUCACCCAGGCUGGAGUGCAGUGGUGCCAUGUCAGCCGACUGCAACCUCCGCCUCCCGGGUUCAAGCGAUUCUCGUGCCUCAGCUUCCCAAGCAGCUGGGAUUACAGGCGUGCGCCACCACGCCCGGCUAGUGUGUGUGUGUGUG
rnacentral:lncRNA from 10 species